UACAGAGGUCUCGAGCGUUGUUCAGAUUCAUUGGGCGUAAAGGGCGCGUAGGCGGCGGGGUAAGUCUGGUGUGAAAUCUCGGAGCUCAACUCCGAAAUUGCACUGGAUACUGCUCUGCUAGAGGGCUGGAGAGGAGAUCGGAAUUCACGGUGUAGCAGUGAAAUGCGUAGAUAUCGUGAGGAAGACCAGUGGCGAAGGCGACUACCUGGCCUGUUCUUGACGCUGAGGCGCGAAAGCUGGGGGAGCAAACGGG
rnacentral:rRNA from 1 species